GUAACGAUUACGUUGUUUCUGACGCUGAUUGCAAUUACAAAGAGUUUUAAAAGGUCCUACUGGCAGGCAAGCCUGCCGAGGAAACAAUGGGUGCGCAAAAAGCAAGGGUAGAAUUCAGACAGCAAGCUCGAUCAGCGGAGGUCAAACAUAAUGUUGGUUCAACAGUAACGUCGCCACUAUGCUCUCCAGUCCGCCCCAGCCAGUGGAACCAAACAUCCACUAACUGUCCUUUCGGAAAGCGUUGCCCCGUGGACUUCAUUAUAUAUAGUUAAUGAUCCUUCCGCAGGUUCACCUACGGAAA
rnacentral:misc_RNA from 1 species